AUUGAACGCUGGCGGCAUGCCUUACACAUGCAAGUCGAACGGCAGCACGGACUUCGGUCUGGUGGCGAGUGGCGAACGGGUGAGUAAUAUAUCGGAACAUACCUUGUAGUGGGGGAUAACUAUCCGAAAGGAUAGCUAAUACCGCAUACGAUCUAAGGAUGAAAGCGGGGGAUCUUCGGACCUUGUGCUAUAAGAGUGGCCGAUAUCUGAUUGGCUAGUUGGUGGGGUAAAGGCCUACCAAGGCGACGAUCUGUAGCGGGUCUGAGAGGAUGAUCCGCCACACUGGGACUGAGACACGGCCCAGACUCCUACGGGAGGCAGCAGUGGGGAAUAUUGGACAAUGGGGGGAACCCUGAUCCAGCCAUGCCGCGUGUGUGAAGAAGGCCUUAUGGUUGUAAAGCACUUUAAGCGAGGAGGAGGCUACUGAGACUAAUACUCUUGGAUAGUGGACGUUACUCGCAGAAUAAGCACCGGCUAACUCUGUGCCAGCCGCCGCCGUAACAC
rnacentral:rRNA from 1 species